GUGACCCUGAUUAGUGACCCGCUGACGACAAUAGGCUGACCUCGCAGGGCACUUAUCACCUGGUGCCUGGGGUCCCGAGUUCUCCGGUGCAUUAGCUCGUUUAAUCCUCACCUGGACGCAGUCACAUGGCCCCUUCAGGAGCCCAGGGGCAGAGUGGGGCUGGGCAGGGACAACUCCCCUGGGGCCCCAGCGCUGGCCCCUGACCAAGCCGAGCACUGGCUAUGUAGGUGCUUCUGACUCCUCUUCCCUGGAUCUCUCCUCCAGUGGACUGGUGACUUCCCUGGAGGACUUGGAAUUUUGGCUGAAGUCCUAAAGCUAGCAGUAUUGGACCCCAAUCAUUCUAAAGAGAGUGCGGGAAACACCCAUGGGAGCCAGUGAUCAUCACCCCCAUGGGAGAGAAGAAGGACGUGUGUAAGGAGACUCCCAGGAGGGGAUUUGCAACAGGAGACACUCCAGCCCAGAGCAAGGUGAAAAAGGACUUUGCAGGUGUGAUCAAGCUAAGGAUCUUAGCUGGGGAGAUGAUCCUGGAUUAUCUGGGUGGGUCCAGUGUAAUCCCUGACUCCUUAUAAAAGGGAGAAGGCCAAGUGAGAAGGGCUGCAGAGGUUAGACUGAUGCCGCCAAGAGAUGCAGACAGCCUCUAGAAGCUGCAAGAGGCAAGAAAGAGAUUCUCCAUAGAGCCUUCUGGAGGAACCCGCCCGGAGACACCUGGAUUUUAGCCCCACAAGACUCAUUUCCAGUUUCUGCCCUCCAGAACUAUAGGAGAGUAAAUGUGUGUUGCUUUAAGCCACUAAAGUUGUGGUAAUUAACUACAGCUGCCUCGGAACACUAAUACCAUUGAACUUAUCCCUUACCAUUGAGAGCAUGAACUUGGCUCUCCUGGGGAUUCUUCUGGCCAGAAGUAAUACUGCUCUGAGGACAUUUACUGUUCCCUUAACAAGAGUUUCUGGGGCUGAUUCAGCAGCUCAGGCUGUUUCCCUCUUUCUCAUUCUUCAGGAUAGUAAAGU